GGAAGUAUGGCUCAAGUGGCAGAGCACCUACCUACCAAGUGUGAGGCCCUGAGUUCAGUCUCUGUACUGUCA
rnacentral:tRNA from 1 species